AUGGAAUUUGUUAAGAUAUUAGGAGAUUUUCCAGGCUUGCUAGCAAAAUGUUCAGUACUUGAGGACUUAGAGAUCAUCGGGUGCUAUGGUGUGGACAACUUAAUCGUACCACACAAACUCGAUAAACUUCAACAUUUGCUGAUUGCCGGAAUGGACAUCCAGAUGGUUGAGUUUCAUGCUACUGAUCUUGCUCAUUUUGAGUACAAAGGGCGAGUGAUCCCUAUAGUCCUUCAUGGUUGCUCGAAACUAGCGAAGGCAACAAUGAAGUUUAAUGGCACUAAAGCACUGGCACAUGCAUUCACUGCAGUUCCAAGCAUUUUGCCAGUGAAGACAUUACAUCUGCAAGCUUUCAUAUCAAAAUAUGCACAGUUGCAGAAGCUGCCAGCAAGACAACAGGGAAUGUUUUUGCAUUUGAGGCAUAUGACUUGUCAAUUAAUUGUCAACUCUAACGACCCAAAUGGUGAUAAUGGAGUUCUUCAAUUGGCCAAUUGUUUGGAUGUUGCACCCGGACUGGAGACGUUGCACUUGCAUAAUGAUUGCAAGCUUCCAAUGCAGAUGCUCUGUGCGAUAUCAAGUAGUUUCUCCAGCGGUGAGGUGGCGGGUAUGCGCCACCAUGAUCAUCUCAUAUCAAGACGGUCUUCAUGA
rnacentral:rRNA from 1 species